ACCAAAAACGUAGCAGAACUCGUAAACGGUUUCUGAUCACUUUUCCUGGUUAUAUUUUCAGGCAAAUUUAUUACAACAGGACCAUUUGCUCGUUCAGUCGUUAUGUACGAUGUACCGGCGCUUGUCGAUGGCACUUGGUUACCACCGUCAUCUAUCUUGCCUGGCGGACGGAUGUGGCUAGGAACACAGAUCCUCUAGCAGCCGCUAUCACCGAUGCAGAAGCACUGGUGUGUAAUUGUUGUCUUACAACAGCGGACAUCAUACCACGCUGAUUCUUCGGAGCAUGAACUUCGACAAGCGAUGCAAUCGAUGGUACUGCAGAACCCGCCAAUGUCUGUUGUCUACCGAUCUUCAUGCCUGAUUCCUGCGGUAGAGCAUCAGCAACCGGUACCACUGAUGGUGCAGCAGUACUAGUUGAUGGUUGCUGUCCAUGUUGCUGGCCUAACGGACGGAAUGGUGCAGGAACACCAGAUGUUCAACAACACGGACUGGCAUUCUUUGUUGACUCGCGCUGACCGGCCACUGAAACCACCGAUGGCACUGCACUUGUCGUCGGAAGUUGUUCAACAACACGGCCUGGUACAUCUGACUGACGAAGCUACUUAUCACAUACCAGCGUUUUAUGUCCCCAUUCUUGGUGUUUCCGGGUUACUCGCCAACGCGCUGUAGUCGGAUCAUACUGCACCUGUCCUGCUUCGAUUAAUGCCUCCCCAAAGACAAAAUUAGAGCACGCGUUCUUAUUCCUCAUCUUCCGGCGCCGUUUGGAGAAUGUGGGAGUCACUGCUUUAUAAAAACCACCGGUCUACCACAAACUGGAAACAGCGGAAAACCCCGUGGGUCACCGGUCACCAUGCUAAAUUGAAGCAAAGUUGAACUAAUCUGCCGUACGAAAUAGCAAAAUAAAUAUUUCAUUUUAAUGUUUUAUUAAGCUAAACCGACAUUAUAUUUUUCAUCUAAAACGUUUUCGAUGUGUUUUUUUUCUCAUCAUGUUUAGGCGACGUAUAUCAGAUCGCAACUGCUAAUAAUUUCGUCGUCUGAGGCGGACUGUUAUUGAGGUACCAAAUCUUCAGUGAUGAUGAAUGCGUUCACGCUUCUACGAGCCGCUAAUUGGCGGUAUCCAGAUCAUCGUCGUACUGUUAGCUUACCUAAGCUACCGAAAUUAGCGACGGUGUAAAGUCUGUGCUGUGAGAAUUACAGCUGGCUCUCACAACCGUCCGGAAGUCGCAGUGAUUUGGUAACAUCAAGAUCAUCACCAUCGCACGAAGCGCAGCAUAUUGACGCAAGCCCAAGCGGACAGCAACCACCUGCAGCAAACGUACGCCGAACGAAUGGUCGUGGUAGAUGCGUUAGGAUGCUGAAAAUGCUAGCACAGAUGUUUGGGCCACAGAGGUGACGUUCCGAGAUUGUAAAAACAUGCCGGGCCCACAGUUUCAGAUAAACCGUUCUCAUCAAUGCCAUACCAUGUACGGUCGGCUAGUUACACUUCAUCACGAAGGACAAUCACAUCUGGGUGACGGAAUGCUGCCAAAACGAUGAAGCUGGCUUAGUCCACGAUGACGACGCAACUCCUGCACGUUCGUCGUCAUACUAUCAUUUCAACUGGAGGCACUGGAGGCAUACUAUCAUUUGUUUAGGCGGCUACAACAAAUUGUUUGAACAUGUUCAAUGAAACAAACAUGUUGUUUUGGCUUCUCACAAUUACUGGUGAAUGCUGGAAAUCUCCGUGAUAGCCGUUUUCGUGCGCUGAAUUAGGUUUGUAUGAAAAAUAGUGUAUUUUUAGAAUAUUUAAUUAUCAAUAAAAUAACGGUCGAUUUGAAAA